GGAAGGUGCUGUGGUCCAGGAGUUAGGUAGGCAGGAAGAGAGAGGGUGUGGCAUCAGCUGUUGGAUUUCCCCCCAGGUGGGACGAGCUGCUCACACUCGCCAGUGAGCCAAAGCAGCAGCAUGUGCUGUUGGCUGAGCAAGUGGAGGAUGCCACCAACGGCCUGCUCAGCACCCUGAGCAGCUCAGCGCUCUGCAUCUCUGCUGACCCAGAUUGCAGGGUGGAAGCUUACCCGUGUGAGCGCAAGACACUGGAGACCGUCAGGGAACUUGCUGGUAAUGCCCUGUGCUGGAGGGGAUCGAGGCAGGCGGAUGGUGUGCUGGCUGCGCGCUGUCCCUUCUACAGGUUUGUCCGCAUUGUCUGGGGCAGAGGCACCAUAGGAGGAGGCCAGGGAUGGA
rnacentral:lncRNA from 1 species